AGAGUAGAUGUGAGCCAAGGAUGACUUGCCGCCAUAUCUAUAGCCAUCGGCAGAUGUAAUAUAUGUGUUGGAUUGGGUCUUAUGCGGCAAGCAUCUUUGGUUCUAGUUUGCUCACU
rnacentral:pre_miRNA from 1 species